UACGUAGGGGGCAAGCGUUGUCCGGAUUUAUUGGGCGUAAAGAGCGUGUAGGCGGCCUGAAAGGUCAGCUGUGAAAACUCGAGGCUCAACCUCGAGACGUCGGUUGAAACCAUCUGGCUAGAGUCCGGAAGAGGAGAGUGGAAUUCCCGGUGUAGCGGUGAAAUGCGCAGAUAUCGGGAGGAACACCAGUGGCGAAGGCGGCCUUCUGGCUCAUAACUGACGCUGUAGCGCGAAAGCGUGGGGAGCGAACCGG
rnacentral:rRNA from 1 species